rnacentral:rRNA from 1 species
GGGUCAGUAGGUUGGUCGUGCCACCGGUACGUACUGGUCUCACUGAUUCCUCCUUCCUGAAGAACCGUAAUGCCAUUAAUUUGGUGUUGCGGGGAAACAGGACUGUUACUUUGAAAAAAUUAGAGUGUUUAAAGCAAGCUAACGCUUGAGUACAUUAGCAUGGAAUAAUGAAAAAGGACGAUCGAUCCUAUUUUGUUGGUUUCUAGGAUUGACGUA